GGCAGGCCUAACACAUGCAAGUCGAGCGGAUGACGGGAGCUUGCUCCUUGAUUCAGCGGCGGACGGGUGAGUAAUGCCUAGGAAUCUGCCUGGUAGUGGGGGACAACGUUUCGAAAGGAACGCUAAUACCGCAUACGUCCUACGGGAGAAAGCAGGGGACCUUCGGGCCUUGCGCUAUCAGAUGAGCCUAGGUCGGAUUAACUAGUUGGUGGGGUAAUGGCCCACCAAGGCGACGAUCCGUAACUGGUCUGAGAGGAUGAUCAGUCACACUGGAACUGAGACACGGUCCAGACUCCUACGGGAGGCAGCAGUGGGGAAUAUAGGACAAUGGGCGAAAGCCUGAUCCAUCCAUGCCGCGUGUGUG
rnacentral:rRNA from 1 species